UGGGCGUUAAGUUGCAGGGUAUAGACCCGAAACCCGGUGAUCUAGCCAUGGGCAGGUUGAAGGUUGGGUAACACUAACUGGAGGACCGAACCGACUAAUGUUGAAAAAUUAGCGGAUGACCUGUGGCUGGGGGUGAAAGGCCAAUCAAACCGGGAGAUAGCUGGUUCUCCCCGAAAGCUAUUUAGGUAGCGCCUCGUGAAUUCAUCUCCGGGGGUAGAGCACUGUUUCGGCUAGGGGGCCAUCCCGGCUUACCAACCCGAUGCAAACUGCGAAUACCGGAGAAUGUUAUCACGGGAGACACACGGCGGGUGCUAACGUCCGUCGUGAAGAGGGAAACAACCCAGACCGCCAGCUAAGGUCCCAAAGUCAUGGUUAAGUGGGAAACGAUGUGGGAAGGCCCAGACAGCCAGGAUGUUGGCUUAGAAGCAGCCAUCAUUUAAAGAAAGCGUAAUAGCUCACUGGUCGAGUCGGCCUGCGCGGAAGAUGUAACGGGGCUAAACCAUGCACCGAAGCUGCGGCAGCGACGCUGAUGCGUUGUUGGGUAGGGGAGCGUUCUGUAAGCCUGUGAAGGUGGCCUGUGAGGGUUGCUGGAGGUAUCAGAAGUGCGAAUGCUGACAUAAGUAACGAUAAAGCGGGUGAAAAGCCCGCUCGCCGGAAGACCAAGGGUUCCUGUCCAACGUUAAUCGGGGCAGGGUGAGUCGACCCCUAAGGCGAGGCCGAAAGGCGUAGUCGAUGGGAAACGGGUUAAUAUUCCCGUACUUGGUGUUACUGCGAAGGGGGGACGGAGAAGGCUAUGUUGGCCGGGCGACGGUUGUCCCGGUUUAAGCGUGUAGGUGUGUGUUCCAGGUAAAUCCGGUU
rnacentral:rRNA from 1 species